ACUCAAAUGAAUAGACGGGGACCCGCACAAGCAGUGGAGUAUGUGGUUUAAUUCGAAGCAACGCGAAGAACCUUACCGGGGCUUGACAUCCUAAAAAGAUUUGCGAAAGCAGGUCGUGCCCUUCGGGGAGUUUAGAGACAGGUGGUGCAUGGUUGUCGUCAGCUCGUGUCGUGAGAUGUUGGGUUAAGUCCCGCAACGAGCGCAACCCUUGCCUUCAGUUACUACGUGAAGAGGACUCUGGAGGGACUGCCGUUGACAAAACGGAGGAAGGCGGGGACGACGUCAAAUCAUCAUGCCCUUUAUGUCCCGGGCUACACACGUACUACAAUGGCCGGUACAACGAGCAGCAAUGCCGCGAGGCGGAGCGAAACUAAAAAACCGGUCCCAGUUCGGAUUGCAGGCUGCAACUCGCCUGCAUGAAGUCGGAAUUGCUAGUAAUCGCGAAUCAUCAUGUCGCGGUGAAUACGUUCCCGGGUCUUGUACACACCGCCCGU
rnacentral:rRNA from 1 species